AACGAACGCUGGCGGCAUGCCUAACACAUGCAAGUCGAACGAGACCUUCGGGUCUAGUGGCGCACGGGUGCGUAACGCGUGGGAACCUGCCCUUAGGUUCGGAAUAAUUCCUCGAAAGGGGUGCUAAUACCGGAUAAUGUCUUCGGACCAAAGAUUUAUCGUCUUUGGAUGGGCCGGCGUUGGUUUAGCCAGUUGGUAGGGUAAAAGCCUACCAAGGCGACGAUCCAUAGCUGGUCUGAGAGGAUGAUCAGCCACACUGAGACUGAGACACGGCGCAGACUCCUGCGGGAGGCAGCAGUGGGGAAUAUUGGACAAUGGGCGGAAGCCUGAUCCAGCAAUGCCGCGUGAGUGAUGAAGGCCUUAGGGUUGUAAAGCUCUUUUACCCGGGAUGAUAAUGACGGUACCGGGAGAAUAAGCUCCGGCUAACUCCGUG
rnacentral:rRNA from 1 species